UGGGGAAUAUUGGACAAUGGGCGAAAGCCUGAUCCAGCCAUGCCGCGUGUGUGAAGAAGGCCUUAUGGUUGUAAAGCACUUUAAGUGGGGAGGAAAAGCUUAUGGAUAACACCCAUAGGUUCUGACGUUACCCACAGAAUAAGCACCGGCUAACUCUGUGCCAGCAGCCGCGGUAAUACAGAGGGUGCAAGCGUUAAUCGGAAUUACUGGGCAUAAAGCGAGCGUAGGUGGUUUAUUAAGUCAGAUGUGAAAUCCCUGGGCUUAACCUAGGAACUGCAUCUGAUACUGAUAAACUAGAGUAGGUGAGAGGAAAGUAGAAUUCCAGGUGUAGCGGUGAAAUGCGUAGAGAUCUGGAGGAAUACCGAUGGCGAAGGCAGCUUUCUGGCAUCAUACUGACACUGAGGUUCGAAAGCGUGGGUAGCAAACAGGAUUAGAUACCCUGGUAGUCCACGCCGUAAACGAUGUCUACCAGUCGUUGGGUCUUUUAAAGGCUUAGUGACGCAGUUAACGCGAUAAGUAGACCGCCUGGGGAGUACGGCCGCAAGGUUA
rnacentral:rRNA from 1 species